CCUUAGUUGCCCAGCACGGUAAUGGUGGGGAAACUCUAAGGAGACUGCCGGUGGACAAACCGGAGGAAGUGGGGAUGACGUCAAGUCAUCAUGGCCCUUACGACCAGGGCUACACACGUACUACAAUGGUCGGUACAGAGGGCUGCGAAGCCGCGAGGUGGAGCGAAUCCCAGAAAACCUGUCUCAGUCCGGAUUGAAGUCUGCAACUCGACUUCAUGAAGGCGGAAUCGCUAGUAACCGCGAAUCAGCAGGUCGCGGUGAAUACGUUCCCGGGCCUU
rnacentral:rRNA from 1 species